rnacentral:rRNA from 1 species
CCGGCCUAGGGAGGCAGCAGUGAGGAAUAUUGGUCAAUGGUCGGGAGACUGAACCAGCCAAGCCGCGUGAGGGAGGAAGGUACAGAGUAUCGUAAACCUCUUUUGUCAGGGAACAAAGGCGGGGACGUGUCCCCGGAUGAGUGUACCUGAAGAAAAAGCAUCGGCUAACUCCGUGCCAGCAGCCGCGGUAAUACGGAGGAUGCGAGCGUUAUCCGGAUUUAUUGGGUUUAAAGGGUGCGCAGGCGGUCUGUUAAGUCAGCGGUCAAAGCCCGGGGCUCAACCCCGGCCCGCCGUUGAAACUGGCC